UGACCUAUUUUUAGACCGACGACGUCAAUUGUCGUAGGCUACAUAUUUUCGUCACCAGAUUUAUUGUACGAUUAAGUCGAGAGUAACCCUUUGCCUAUUUCAUCGGUAAAAUAAUCGAUUGAUUGUUUAUUUGGUGUUUAUUUUGAUCGUAUGAUUAUUGAACAGCCGACAUCGGGUCCUUGUGUUAAUAAACACAAAAUGAAGCAAAAUCGACGCAUAUUCAGGAAGAUCCCGGGAGACUGGUGCUCUCGAAAUAAGCUGUUAAUCAUGAAUGAUGAGGUUUGAAGACGAUCCCGUUCGACCCAAAGUGUGUGCUGAAGUUCCUGAAACAAUUACCCAUGCCACCCAUUUAAAAUCAUCGAUUAAACCACAUAUUUCGUCGGAUUUGAUUAUUUUCCUCACCGAUUAAUCGUAAGAUUUGGUCUGGUUCGAACAAUAAUAAAAUUUAAUAAAUCGAUCAAACCACAU